CCCACCCUUCAAAAAAGGAACAUGUGCAACUUCUUUCCUGUUUAGUACGUGACAUGAAGUACGUUACAUUGAGACAUUACCAUUAAAAGCACCGUUUAUUUGAAGCCAAGCGUUUACUCAGCAUUUGACCAGGGGACGUUUGUGUGCGUGUUUGCUGACUAAGACCAAAACGCAUCCGCUAGACAGCCUUUUUAUCAGUCGAGGGUUAACAACACCUUGACGACUCCCCAGCAACAUCAGAUAAACUGAUAAAAGCCGGCUACCUCCUUCCUGCACGUGUAUGUCUUGGCACCAUUCCCUAGAUGACUGAGGUGUGUUUUGAACAUCUGAAGCCAUGUUUCUUCUCUUGUUUAUUGUAAUUUAGGUACCAUAUACCCUUUUGGAGAACUUAGGCUUCACAUGACCCAGUUUUGAAUAAUUAUACCCUUCCUCCAAGGGUGCGUUUUAGCACAAAUUGAUUGCAAAAUUAGUAAGUGUUGAGUCAGUGUUGGGAAAGAAAAUGAGAAGUAGAUGAUCGUGUUGAUGUUUGUGUUAAUCAGUAUCGCCCAAGGAAUAGAAAAAUAGGAUCCAGUUCUCACAAGUCAUUGGGCUCCCGAGUGGUGCAGUGGUCUACGGCACUGCAUCUCAGUGCAAGAGGCAUCACUACAGUCCCUGGUUUGAUUCCAGGCUGUAUCACAUCCGACCGUGAUUGGGAGUCCCAUAGGGCGGCUCACAAUUGGCCCAGUGCCGUCCGGGAUAGGCCGUCAUUGUAAAUAAGAUUUUGUUCUUAACUGAUUUGCCUAGUUAAAUAAAGGUUGCAUUUAAAAAAUACUGACCAAUGGAAAUGUAUGAAGUGUAAAGAGCUUAUGAGCUGAUUAGGUUGAUAUUUGUGCACAUGUAGAUGUAGCCUACACCUGACACACUAAAGUAAAUGUAGCCUAGAUUAACUUGACAAUAUCUACAAUUCAAUUUUAAUUAGAUGCUAUCAAUAUCUGAAAUGUGUUCCCAAAUCCAACUCAUUUAAAAAAAUAUCAACACCUGGGGACACAUGAACAUACACCUUAAAAUGCUGCACUCAACAUUUCAAAACCAUAACGGUCGCAUUAAUGACCAUAACAGAAAUAGUACAAACGUUAAUAGUGUCUGAGACCUCUUUCCAGUAUUCACGCGAUGGUCAUCUGUUCAAAUCCAAUGCACAAUUCAGGCUUUAUAAAUGACACCUGAAGUUGUGUUCUGUUGUCCAGCUGCCUGUCACUGUAGUAGACAGUCAGAAGGAGUGGCGCUGCUGUUUGCAAGACACAGACAUUUCCUUCACUGAAUAAGCAUCAACCCCCAAGCGCUAGCCUCCCUCUGUAAUAUCAAAUGAUCAUCAGAUUUUUUUAAACUCAAAUUUACUAGUGAGAUACAUCAAGCUUCACAAGGAGGGCAACAUCCACUGAUUCCUUUAAAUGUAUACAAAUAUAUAAUCCAGUGGCUAGUAAAUUACACACAAAGCUAUAGCCCCUUGCAAUAUUUAUCUUUAUUUAUAUUUUUCUAUAAAUGUUUUAUGUCAAAGGAAUACAAGUCAACAGUAAUUCGACCAGAGAUUAAAAUCCACAAAUGUAAUGAAAUAGUCAAGUAUUAAGUAUUUUUUUUUACAACGAGUUCCAGGGGCAAUCCCCUGGGGCAAUACCUGUUCAAGACACCUGUGGCUGAUGGUAAUUACACAUGCAGAGGUCAUCCUUCAUAACACUGCUAGCCCCAAAAUAUUUGACUGUAAGGGUUUAUAAGGGAACCAAAUAAACCUUACUCUGUAGAAAUUAAAAUCAUUCUUCAAAUACCAUCCUCAUGGCUUACCAGCCACUGAACACUUGUGUCAUGAUGGGAGUAUUAUGUUGUUAGUUUGCUCCACCAUGAAUAGAAGGAAGCUUAGGGGUUCAUGCGUGCGCUGGAUAUUAACACUGGGAUUAGCCGAGAGGCAUCUGGAAAACUCGAGGCUGGGAAGCACAAACAGACUGCUCCCUUUUAUUGUUGUGAUGGGUACCUUGUUUGCCACAAUUAAUGGCUUCACUCCAAAGCAUGCCACUGUGCCUACAUCGGCAUGGUCUUCCUAGUUUGGAAAGGGGGGAAGGGUUUGCUAACAAGUCCCCUGCUUGAGGACCAUUAUGACAUUGACGUUUGUCUACUGUAGAGAGUCCAACCAUAGACAUGCCAUAGACUCAAAGAAACUCUUGUUAGACAGAAUGACAUGGCUUUGUUAACCAACUGCAUCACAGCUAUCCUUGUGACUGAAUUCAGCCUUCGUGUGUAAUUUUGCAUACAAACUAGUGACACCGCCUCUAUUUUUAUUUUAUUGCUUCACACCUUCACUGACUAACUCUGCAUAUCCUGAAAUGACCCCAGAUUGAGUACCUGCAUUAGCUAACACAA